rnacentral:rRNA from 1 species
AGCUCCAAUAGCGUAUAUUAAAGUUGUUGCAGUUAAAAAGCUCGUAGUCGAAUUUCGGAUUUGGCUUUCCGGUCUACCUUAUGGUUAGUACUGGUUUAGCUGGAUCUUACCUUCUGGGGGAACUAUUAUGCUCUUUAUUGAGUGUGAUUGGGAACCAGGACAUUUACUUUGAAAAAAUUAGAGUGUUUAAGGCAGGCUUAUGCUUGAAUACAUUAGCAUGGAAUAAUGAAAUAGGACUUUGGUUCUAUUUUGUUGGUUUCUAGGACCAAAGUAAUGAUCAAUAGGAACAGUUGGGGGCAUUAGUAUUGAGACGUUAGAGGUGAAAUUCUUGGAUCGUCUCAAGACUAACUACUGCGAAGCAUUUGCCAAGGAUGUUUUCA